GAAGUUAAAGGCAUUGGCUCAACCAAUGUAUGCUUUGGAAACUGUUAGACUUGAGUGCAGAAGGGGAGAGUGGAAUUCCAUGUGUAGCGGUGAAAUGCGUAGAUAUAUGGAGGAACACCGGUGGCGAAAGCGGCUCUCUGGUCUGUCACUGACGCUGAGACUCGAAAGCGUGGGUAGCGAACAGGAUUAGAUACCCUGGUAGUCCACGCCGUAAACGCUGAGUGCUAGGUGUUAGGUUCUUUCCGGGACUUAGUGCCGACGCUAACGCAUUAAGCACUCCGCCUGGGGAGUACGACCGCAAGGUUGAAACUCAAAGGAAUUGACGGGGGCCCGCACAAGCGGUGGAGCAUGUGGUUUAAUUCGAAGCAACGCGAAGAACCUUACCAGGUCUUGACAUCCCGAUGCCCGCUCUAGAGAUAGAGUUUUUCUUCGGAACAUCGGAGACAGGUGGUGCAUGGUUGUCGUCAGCUCGUGUCGUGAGAUGUUGGGUUAAGUCCCGCAACGAGCGCAACCCUUAUUGUUAGUUGCCAUCAUUAAGUUGGGCACUCUAGCGAGACUGCCGGUAAUAAACCGGAGGAAGGUGGGGAUGACGUCAAAUCAUCAUGCCCCUUAUGACCUGGGCUACACACGUGCUACAAUGGUUGGUACAACGAGUCGCAAGCCGGUGACGGCAAGCUAAUCUCUGAAAGCCAAUCUCAGUUCGGAUUGUAGGCUGCAACUCGCCUACAUGAAGUCGGAAUCGCUAGUAAUCGCGGAUCAGCACGCCGCGGUGAAUACGUUCCCGGGCCUUGUACACACCGCCCGUCACACCACGAGAGUUUGUAACACCCAAAGUCGGUGAGGUAACCAUUUAUGGGGCCAGCCGC
rnacentral:rRNA from 1 species